UUCAUUUCAGCAUCAUGUGUACGAAAACUGAUAAGAUACAGAGAAGAUAAGCAUGGCCCCUGCUCAAGGAUGACACACAAAUUUAUGAACUGUUCCAUGCUUUU
rfam:Tupaia chinensis contig10845, whole genome shotgun sequence.